rnacentral:rRNA from 1 species
GACGGAGGGUGCUAGCGUUGUUCGGAAUCACUGGGCGUAAAGCGCACGUAGGCGGACUCGUAGGUCAAUUGUGAAAUACCUGGGCUCAACCCGGGAACUGCAGUUGAAACCGCUUGUCUUGAAUAUCUGAGAGGGUGGGGGAAUACCUGGUGGAGAAGUGAAAUUCGUAGAGAUCAGGUGGAACACCGGAGGCGAAGGCGCCUGCCUGGCAGUAUAUUGACGCUGAGGUGCGAAAGUGCGGGGAGCAAACAGG